GAUGAACGCUGGCGGCGUGCCUAAUACAUGCAAGUCGAGCCAACAGACGAGGAGCUUGCUCCUCUGACGUUAGCGGCGGACGGGUGAGUAACACGUGGAUAACCUACCUAUAAGACUGGGAUAACUUCGGGAAACCGGAGCUAAUACCGGAUAAUAUAUUGAACCGCAUGGUUCAAUAGUGAAAGACGGUUUUGCUGUCACUUAUAGAUGGAUCCGCGCCGCAUUAGCUAGUUGGUAAGGUAACGGCUUACCAAGGCAACGAUGCGUAGCCGACCUGAGAGGGUGAUCGGCCACACUGGAACUGAGACACGGUCCAGACUCCUACGGGAGGCAGCAGUAGGGAAUCUUCCGCAAAGGGCGAAAGCUUGACGGAGCAACGCCGCGUGAGUGAUGAAGGUCUUCGGAUCGUAAAACUCUGUUAUUAGGGAAGAACAAAUGUGUAAGUAACUAUGCACGUCUUGACGGUACCUAAUCAGAAAGCCACGGCUAACUACGUG
rnacentral:rRNA from 1 species